AAGUCGAAGAGUUUAUUUGGAACUUUCCCUAGGCUCCUUGGAGGAGAUUUGGGUUACAGUUCUUAACAUUACCGGCCCUUUAUCUGGUUGGUCAUUUGCAGAUAAUAGAAUUCCAGCUCCAGAAGCAGCUGAUGGUGGCCCACCAUCGUAUAUUUGUAGACUUAGCGGAGGCAGCAACAAGAACUGGACCUUUUGGUUAGAGGCUAGCAGCACUGAAGAUUUGAGGGUGGAUGUGGCUGUAUUGGACCAGGUUCUGGUCGAUGGAACAAACAAGUUGAAAAGCCUUUUCCCUGACUGGGCGGAUGUUAUCGCUUUUUCUAGUUUUGUUUCGAGCUAUAUCUUCUAGCAUAAAUAUAUGUUGGACGUACUCAAUCUUGAAUAAUCAUAUCAUUACAUGAAAAUAAAAUGGGUUGAUUA